CGGACGGGUGAGUAAUGUAUGGGGAUCUGCCUGAUGGCGGGGGAUAACUACUGGAAACGGUAGCUAAUACCGCAUAAUGUCUGCGGACCAAAGCGGGGGACCUCCGGGCCUCGCGCCAUCAGAUGAACCCAUAUGGGAUUAGCUUGUAGGUAAGGUAACGGCUUACCUAGGCGGCGAUCCCUAGCUGGUCUGGGAGGAUGAUCAGCCACACUGGGACUGAGACACGGCCCAG
rnacentral:rRNA from 1 species